CAGAACUACAUGUCCCAUGAUGCCCCGCGCGGUCAAGAUGAGCAAAUGGAACACGGAGCGGAGCAGCCGCGGUGACAGCUGAGUUUACUGACAGAGACACUGACGCGACCACAGACCCACUCAGGUGAAACCAACAUGACACACUCGGGACAGGACAGAAGCCGGCCGGUAAAGCAGCACUAGCGGCAGAGAUAAUUUAAUUGAAUGGGAAUACACUAAACCAGACAGUUCCCUCUCCUGCACAGAUCAUCACAUGCUAACGACUGCAGGCUCACAUCACACUCUCCAAAGAUUUUGAACCUGAUGCCCUGAGAGCCUUUCUUAUCUCCCUGAGCCACCAGGGGGCCUCAGUCCCACAGUGGCACAGCUGUAGCCUUCAGUUUGUCUUCAUCCUGAACCCUCCGGCCUUAGUCAAGC